UUUCUUGCACAUAAAAACCGUUGCAUCAUUAUUUAUUAAUUUUGAUUAUUAUUGUUGUUAUUAUUAUUAUUAUAUGUUGAAGUAAGUUAUCGUUUUAUGUGAAAAUUUUCUAUCAGGAUUACUAACAGAACACAGCUUCGACAAAAGAAAACCUGGCCGGCUAGAGUCGAUCAGUUACUUGACGAGCAGGAAUUCAAAGCAGAUUUGUUGUUUAGAGAAUUGAAGUCGACUACAACAUAAGAUGGUUGACGUCGAUCAUAUACCUGAUGCCAUUCUUUGCAAUAUAUUCUCCCGCCUACCCACUAAGCCAAUGGGGCGGUGUAGAUGUGUAUCUAUGCAUUGGAAUAGGCUGAUUUCAGAUCCUUCUUUUAUGAUGUCAGGAUCAUCAAGGAUCUUUCAGCAUAAUCAUUUGGGUACGUGUCAAGGAUGCCUAUGGAUGAUCACGCACACCAUCGAUACUCCUAAGUAUGAUGUGUGGGUAAAGAAUGAACAAGGUAUUGAUAACUUGUCGUCAAAAACAUGUUCGUUCACAAUAGGUCUGCAACUCAAGUCUCAUUUUGCCUUUGGUCGAAAUAUCAAAAUUACUGAGGAUGGAAGAAUUGUAAUGAAUGUGUUAAUGGAUGCUGCAGAACAAUUGAUCAUCUAUGAUACAUCAAAACAGUCGUAUGAACUGCUAAAGAGGUCCCCGGGUUUUCUAAGGGGCAUGACAUACAAGGGGAGUCUCAUACAACCUAAGAAUAUAUGCCGUGUUUGAUAUCUCUUCUUGACAGUUAUCUUAUACGUAUCCAAGGUCGUUAUUGUUGCUGUCAUAGAUUUUGCUGCUUAUUCACAGUUUGCUGCUGUUUUGCUGUCAUGGAUGUUGGUAUUUUGUUGCUUAUUCACAGCUAGAGAUUGCGAAGUUACUAGCUCCUCAUUGAUUUCACACUUGACGGGCAAUUUGAGAUGGCUAUAUUUAAUGACUUGUCUUGAUAGGUAGUUUGCUGCUGUUUAUAGUUUACUUCAGAUUGUGACAUUUAGAAUUGGUUUGGGUUUAACAAGUUUAAAGUGUGGACAGCUAUUCUCCCGUGUUAUGUAUUUAAAUCGUCGUUUUUGUUGCCAUGGAUCAUCAUCACUUUUGGUAAUGGAUGAGCUCAUAGAUGAUUUACCAGACAUUUGUAUUCUAGUAAUGAAGUUUAUAAAGGACUUCCUGUGUAUUUAUUUUUGAUAAGUGAAAGAUAUGAUUUUAUUGAUCU